AGGCUGAACACAAUGUGAUUGGCUCCGAGACCUGGGGAGGCUCCAGCUCUCCUCAAAUAUCCCCCCUGCUAUUAGAAAUGAUCCAGUUAAACCUCUGAUGUUAUAGAAUUAAGAAAAUAAAUCAAGGCUAAGAAGUGAAGUGCCUGGCCCAAGAAACUCAACUGAAGGGGAUUUUGGAGUCUUUGAACAACCAUCGCCCUGUUUUUUUUCCCUUAAACCUCCCUGCCCUUCAAAUGCAAGGGUUUAUAGGUUGUAAUAACUGAGUGACUACAUCAAAAUGAGGAACCUGAACAUGGAGAGAGAGGAUCCACCCGCCUGAUGGUGACAGCCCAUGUCUGACUGAGCUGAGCUCCUCCUCUUUGCCUUCCCAAAGUCUAAGCUGCUACUUUCUGCAGAGUUGUCCUUAGCGAAUUUGUCCCAGCUUUUCAAAAUUUGCAGCAGAAUCACGUGUCUCCUUAUCACUUUUCAACCUUCCGGGAGGCAUACCAGGCUCAAGACAAUUGUCCAGCCCAGUCCUAGCUACUGUC
rnacentral:lncRNA from 1 species